rnacentral:rRNA from 1 species
UACGUAGGGGGCUAGCGUUGUCCGGAAUCAUUGGGCGUAAAGAGCGUGUAGGCGGUCCGGUAAGUCCGUUGUGAAAGUCAGGGGCUCAACCCUUGAAUGCCGGCGGAUACUGUCGGGCUAGAGUCCGGAAGAGGCGAGUGGAAUUCCCGGUGUAGCGGUGAAAUGCGCAGAUAUCGGGAGGAACACCCGUGGCGAAGGCGGCUCACUGGGCUGACCUUGACGCUGAGGAGCGAAGGCGUGGGGAGCGAACGGG